rnacentral:rRNA from 1 species
CCGGUAAACGGCGGCCGUAACUAUAACGGUCCUAAGGUAGCGAAAUUCCUUGUCGGGUAAGUUCCGACCUGCACGAAUGGCGUAAUGAUGGCCAGGCUGUCUCCACCCGAGACUCAGUGAAAUUGAACUCGCUGUGAAGAUGCAGUGUACCCGCGGCAAGACGGAAAGACCCCGUGAACCUUUACUAUAGCUUGACACUGAACAUUGAGCCUUGAUGUGUAGGAUAGGUGGGAGGCUUUGAAGUGUGGACGCCAGUCUGCAUGGAGCCGACCUUGAAAUACCACCCUUUAAUGUUUGAUGUUCUAACGUUGGCCCGUUAUCCGGGUUGCGGACAGUGUCUGGUGGGUAGUUUGACUGGGGCGGUCUCCUCCUAAAGAGUAACGGAGGAGCACGAAGGUUGGCUAAUCCUGGUCGGACAUCAGGAGGUUAGUGCAAUGGCAUAAGCCAGCUUGACUGCGAGCGUGACGGCGCGAGCAGGUGCGAAAGCAGGUCAUAGUGAUCCGGUGGUUCUGAAUGGAAGGGCCAUCGCUCAACGGAUAAAAGGUACUCCGGGGAUAACAGGCUGAUACCGCCCAAGAGUUCAUAUCGACGGCGGUGUUUGGCACCUCGAUGUCGGCUCAUCACAUCCUGGGGCUGAAGUAGGUCCCAAGGGUAUGGCUGUUCGCCAUUUAAAGUGGUACGCGAGCUGGGUUUAGAACGUCGUGAGACAGUUCGGUCCCUAUCUGCCGUGGGCGCUGGAGAACUGAGGGGGGCUGCUCCUAGUACGAGAGGACCGGAGUGGACGCAUCACUGGUGUUCGGGUUGUCAUGCCAAUGGCACUGCCCGGUAGCUAAAUGCGGAAGAGAUAAGUGCUGAAAGCAUCUAAGCACGAAACUUGCCCCGAGAUGAGUUCUCCCUGACUCCCUGAGAG